UACGGGAGGCAGCAGUGGGGAAUAUUGCACAAUGGGCGAAAGCCUGAUGCAGCUAUGCCGCGUGUAUGAAGAAGGCCCUAGGGUUGUAAAGUACUUUCAUCGGGGAGGAAAAACAAAACUAAUAAUUUUAUUUCUUGACGUUACCCGAAAAAGAAGCACCGGCUAACUCCGUGCCAGCAGCCGCGGUAAUACGGAGGGUGCUAGCGUUAAUCAGAAUUACUGGGCGUAAAGAGCACGUAGGUGGUUUUUUUAAGUCAGAUGUGAAAUCCCUGGGCUUAACCUAGGAACUGCAUUUUGAAACUGAAAUACUAGAGUAUCGUAGAGGGAGGUAGAAUUCUAGGUGUAGCGGUGAAAUGCGUAGAUAUCUGGAGGAAUACCUGUGGCGAAAGCGGCCUCCUAAACGAAUACUGACACUGAGGUGCGAAAGCGUGGGGAGCGAAACAGGGAUUAGAUACC
rnacentral:rRNA from 1 species